rnacentral:rRNA from 1 species
CCGUAGCGUUACUGACGCUGAAGCUCGAAGGUGCGGGUAUCGAACAGGAUUAGAUACCCUGGUAGUCCGCACGGUAAACGAUGGAUGCCCGCUGUCCGCCCCUUGCGGCGGGUGGCCAAGCGAAAGCGUUAAGCAUCCCACCUGGGGAGUACGCCGGCAACGGUGAAACUCAAAGGAAUUGACGGGGGCCCGCACAAGCGGAGGAACAUGUGGUUUAAUUCGAUGAUACGCGAGGAACCUUACCCGGGCUUGAACUGCGGCUGCCGGGGCCGGAGACGGCCCUUUCCCUUCGGGGCUGCCGUGGAGGUGCUGCAUGGUUGUCGUCAGCUCGUGCCGUGAGGUGUCGGCUUAAGUGCCAUAACGAGCGCAACCCCUCUCCGUAGUUGCCAUCGGGUAAUGCCGGGCACUCUGCGGACACUGCCACCGCAAGGUGCGAGGAAGGUGGGGACGACGUCAAAUCAGCACGGCCCUUACGUCCGGGGCUACACACGUGUUACAAUGGGGCAUACAGAAAGCCGGCCGGGCGCAAGCACGGUCCAAUCCCUAAAGUGCCCCUCAGUUCGGACUGGGGUCUGCAACCCGACCCCACGAAGCUGGAUUC